CCUGGCGGCGUGCCUAAUACAUGCAAGUCGAACGCUCUUUUCAUCGAACUCGGUUCACCGAAAAGAAGAGUGGCGAACGGGUGAGUAACACGUGGGUAACCUACCCAUCAGCGGGGGAUAACACUUGGAAACAGGUGCUAAUACCGCAUAAUCUUUUUCUCCGCCUGGAGAAAGAGUGAAAGGCGCUUUUGCGUCACUGAUGGAUGGACCCGCGCUGCAUUAGCUAGUUGGUGAGGUAACGGCUCACCAAGGCCACGAUGCAUAGCCGACCUGAGAGGGUGAUCGGCCACACUGGGACUGAGACACGGCCCAGACUCCUACGGGAGGCAGCAGUGGGGAAUAUUGCACAAUGGAGGAAACUUCCUGAUGCAGCGACGCCGCGUGAAUGAUGAAGGCCUUCGGGUCGUAAAGUUCUGUCCUUGGGGAAGAUAAUGACGGUACCCAAGGAGGAAGCCCCGGCUAACUACGUGCCAGCCGCCGC
rnacentral:rRNA from 1 species